UACAGAGGUCCCAAGCGUUGUUCGGAUUCACUGGGCGUAAAGGGUGCGUAGGCGGUCGGGUAAGCCUGAUGUGAAAUCUCACAGCUUAACUGUGAAACUGCAUUGGAUACUAUCCGGCUUGAGGAAUGGAGGGGAGACUGGAAUACUUGGUGUAGCAGUGAAAUGCGUAGAUAUCAAGUGGAACACCAGUGGCGAAGGCGAGUCUCUGGACAUUUCCUGACGCUGAGGCACGAAAGCCAGGGGAGCAAACGGG
rnacentral:rRNA from 1 species